CCCCAGAAGAUGUGGCUGGGCCUCUCCUGGAACCAAAAGGGAACCGACAGUUCGUUCCAGGUCACCCAGCCCGAGAGGCUUAAGAGGAAGGCAAGAUUUCACGGUGGGCGCUAGACACAGGAACCCAGCUAUCGAACCUAAGAAGGUAGAAGAAAAGCCCUUCCUCGCCUACACGGGAGCCUCCAGAUCCAAGACUGCUGGUGGGUGAUCUGAGGCCACCUUUACUCCUGCUGUGAAUUCCUUCAAGUUGCUGCAAAUGCUUCUAAGUUCUCU
ensembl:lncRNA